GUCAUUUUGUCUUAUAGAUGUUAAAGAUGUGUAGUAAAGCCAGUGUUGCUGCAUUUAUUAACCCUCGUUCUCUCCUAGGCAUGUUUAAAUUUAAAGUGGGGUCAUCUGGACCCCACAAGAUGGAACUGUUUUUCCAAGGAUUUUUUUUAUCUUCACUGGUUUUGGUGGCAGACAUAAAAUCCUGUCUACCUUUGUCCACCUCUAUCAUGGGAGGGAUCACACGUCAAUGUUAGCGUGAGAUCAUCUGGACCCAUAAGAGAGCACAUGGUGUUAACUGGUGGUGGCUAAAAUGUAUGUACUGUAACAUCCUUAAAUCUUGUAAUGUUUUUGUAUUUAACUGUAUAAUUACAGUGAAUGAAAUGAUGCUGUUUUGUUUUUUCACAGUAAAGCAAACAAUUGCCUAGAUGAAGCCUUUGCCAGACAUGAUCCCAUCGCCUGUCGCUCCACCCAAGAAGCUACGACAUUCAAGUGAGGUGAUGCUUCACAUCCUCCAGUCGGCAGAACACCCCAACAUCUUUCUUCAAUCAAGACCUUUCUUCAGUCUUGUGGUGAUCGUCUGUGACACCAACUGUGUAACUGCCAUUGGAACCAUUUCUGUGUUGAUCUUCUCAAAGGAGGACAUACCUGAUAGCUUAUAACAGAUCGUAUAUCAUGGCAUGUUACAUCUUUCACCUUACAGAUCCCAAGUGUAGCAGGACACUCCUGUUAGUGCUGCAGACAGAAGACCUUAUGGACACGAUCCAUGCUGGAGACAUGACUUCCUCUAACAAAAAAAGUAAAUGUUAUUACAACUAUGUAUGUUGAUGUUCAGUCCAAAUGUUUACAGAUGUGAUUGUAAAAAUGUGAAGUUUUUUCUCCCAGUUUUCUAAGUUUACAACAUCAUUUGUCUCUGCUCUUCUUAUGAUGACUUUAGGUUUUCGGAAUCAGUACGAGAGCUUUUUUAUUUUAUCAUACUUGUAGUUAUGUUGCCUAAACAAACAACCUUUAAGUUUCACAGUAUCCUAUCACACAUUUUUGUUUGAUACUCA
rnacentral:lncRNA from 1 species